rnacentral:tRNA from 3 species
GGAAGGGUGGCCGAGCGGUUUAAGGCACACGCCUGGAGAGCGUGUGUGGGCGCAAGCCCACCGUGGGUUCGAAUCCCACCCCUUCCGCCC